rnacentral:rRNA from 1 species
GACGAACGCUGGCGGCGUGCUUAACACAUGCAAGUCGAACGGAAAGGCCCUGCUUUUGUGGGGUGCUCGAGUGGCGAACGGGUGAGUAACACGUGAGUAACCUGCCCUUGACUUUGGGAUAACUUCAGGAAACUGGGGCUAAUACCGGAUAGGAGCUCCUGCUGCAUGGUGGGGGUUGGAAAGUUUCGGCGGUUGGGGAUGGACUCGCGGCUUAUCAGCUUGUUGGUGGGGUAGUGGCUUACCAAGGCUUUGACGGGUAGCCGGCCUGAGAGGGUGACCGGCCACAUUGGGACUGAGAUACGGCCCAGACUCCUACGGGAGGCAGCAGUGGGGAAUAUUGCACAAUGGGCGGAAGCCUGAUGCAGCAACGCCGCGUGCGGGAUGACGGCCUUCGGGUUGUAAACCGCUUUCGCCUGUGACGAAGCGUGAGUGACGGUAAUGGGUAAAGAAGCACCGGCUAACUACGUGCCAGCAGCCGCGGUGAUACGUANGGUGCGAGCGUUGUCCGGAUUUAUUGGGCGUAAGGGCUCGUAGGUGGUUGAUCGCGUCGGAAGUGUAAUCUUGGGGCUUAACCCUGAGCGUGCUUUCGAUACGGGUUGACUUGAGGAAGGUAGGGGAGAAUGGAAUUCCUGGUGGAGCGGUGGAAUGCGCAGAUAUCAGGAGGAACACCAGUGGCGAAGGCGGUUCUCUGGGCCUUUCCUGACGCUGAGGAGCGAAAGCGUGGGGAGCGAACAGGCUUAGAUACCCUGGUAGUCCACGCUGUAAACGGUGGGUACUAGGUGUGGGGUCCAUUCCACGGGUUCCGUGCCGUAGCUAACGCUUUAAGUACCCCGCCUGGGGAGUACGGCCGCAAGGCUAAAACUCAAAGGAAUUGACGGGGCCCCGCACAAGCGGCGGAGCAUGCGGAUUAAUUCGAUGCAACGCGUAGAACCUUACCUGGGUUUGACAUGGAUCGGGAGCGCUCAGAGAUGGGUGUGCCUCUUUUGGGGUCGGUUCACAGGUGGUGCAUGGCUGUCGUCAGCUCGUGUCGUGAGAUGUUGGGUUAAGUCCCGCAACGAGCGCAACCCUUGUUCACUGUUGCCAGCACGUUAUGGUGGGGACUCAGUGGAGACCGCCGGGGUCAACUCGGAGGAAGGUGGGGAUGACGUCAAGUCAUCAUGCCCCUUAUGUCCAGGGCUUCACGCAUGCUACAAUGGCUGGUACAGAGAGUGGCGAGCCUGUGAGGGUGGGCGAAUCUCGGAAAGCCGGUCUCAGUUCGGAUUGGGGUCUGCAACUCGACCUCAUGAAGUCGGAGUCGCUAGUAAUCGCAGAUCAGCAACGCUGCGGUGAAUACGUUCCCGGGGCU